AAGGAGAAAGUAAGGGAGGGAAGCGGGAAGGGCGGGCGGGUGGGUGUGUCUGGGGCCGGGAACGGCCUCCACCCCCGCCGCCAGCGCUGCCUGCCUGAGGGGAGAGGGGCGCGGAGCCCGGACGGAGGCGAGGUGGUCCAUUCAGCCCUGGCCCUGUCAGGUCUAUGAGGACGAAGGUAUUUCCGGAAGUGUGGAGAUCUCCUCGCUGUCUUGACUAGAUCCUAAGGUAUGUAGAAGCAUGUAAGGUAAGCAAGUAAGUUCUUAAGGUAUGUAGAAGCUCUGUCCUGGACUCAGUCCUCAUGACCCUUCUGUGAGACAGAAGUGAACAAAGCCAUUUUACAGGUGAGGAAACAGACUUGGUGAGGUUAAGUGGUUCAGGCACACACUAGAGUGUAGAGCUGAGAUGGCAAUGACUGGCCUCGUGUCUGGGGCAUAUUUCUGUGCAAGAAGCAGC
rnacentral:lncRNA from 1 species